rnacentral:rRNA from 1 species
GAUGAACGCUGGCGGCGUGCCUAAUACAUGCAAGUCGAGCGAACAGACGAGGAGCUUGCUCCUCUGACGUUAGCGGCGGACGGGUGAGUAACACGUGGAUAACCUACCUAUAAGACUGGGAUAACUUCGGGAAACCGGAGCUAAUACCGGAUAAUAUAUUGAACCGCAUGGUUCAGUAGUGAAAGACGGGUUUGCUGUCACUUAUAGAUGGAUCCGCGCCGCAUUAGCUAGUUGGUAAGGUAACGGCUUACCAAGGCGACGAUGCGUAGCCGACCUCGGCGGCUGAUCGGCCACCCUGGAGCUUAGACGCGGUCCAGACUCCUACGGGAGGCCGCAGUCGGGAACCUUCCGCAGUGGGCGAAAGCCUUACGCAGCAACCCCGCGUGAGUUAUGAAGGUCUUCGGUUCGUAAUACUCUGUUACUAGGGAUAAACAAAUGUGUAAGUAACUAUGCACGUCUUGACGGUACCUAAUCAGAAAGCCCCGGCUAACUACGUG